rnacentral:rRNA from 1 species
UGCCUUGAAGAUCGGAGUGCUUGCACUCUGCGAAACAAGAUACAGGCUAGCGGCGGACGGGUGAGUAACACGUGGGUAACCUGCCCAAGAGAUCGGGAUAACACCUGGAAACAGAUGCUAAUACCGGAUAACAACAGAUGAUGCCUAUCAACUGUUUAAAAGAUGGUUCUGCUAUCACUCUUGGAUGGACCUGCGGUGCAUUAGCUAGUUGGUAGGGUAACGGCCUACCAAGGCGAUGAUGCAUAGCCGAGUUGAGAGACUGAUCGGCCACAUUGGGACUGAGACACGGCCCAAACUCCUACGGGAGGCAGCAGUAGGGAAUCUUCCACAAUGGACGCAAGUCUGAUGGAGCAACGCCGCGUGAGUGAAGAAGGGUUUCGGCUCGUAAAGCUCUGUUGUUGGUGAAGAAGGACAGGGGUAGUAACUGACCUUUGUUUGACGGUAAU